UGUGGGAGCUGGCUUGCCUGCGAUAACGGUGUGUCAGCCAGCCCAUUUGCAACUGACAGUCCGCUAUCGCAGGCAAGCCAGCUCCCACA
rnacentral:misc_RNA from 1 species